rnacentral:rRNA from 1 species
ACUUAAAUUGAAGAGUUUGAUCAUGGCUCAGAUUGAACGCUGGCGGCAGGCCUAACACAUGCAAGUCGAGCGGCAGCGGAAAGUAGCUUGCUACUUUGCCGGCGA